GGGGCUAAUACCGGAUGUGGUCGACGGUUCGCAUGAACUGUUGAUUAAAGAUACGCAAGAGUCGUCUACAGAUGAGUUUGCGUCCCAUUAGCUAGUUGGUAGGGUAACGGCCUACCAAGGCUGUGAUGGGUAGCCGGCCUGAGAGGGUGACCGGCCACAUUGGGACUGAGAUACGGCCCAGACUCCUACGGGAGGCAGCAGUAGGGAAUUUUGCGCAAUGGGCGAAAGCCUGACGCAGCAACGCCGCGUGAGUGAUGACGGCCUUCGGGUUGUAAAGCUCUGUUGGACGGGAAGAAGAGGCGCGCGAAGAGCGCGUUAUGACGGUACCGUUCGAGGAAGCUCCGGCUAACUACGUGCCAGCAGCCGCGGUAAUACGUAGGGAGCGAGCGUUGUUCGGAAUUACUGGGCGUAAAGGGAGCGUAGGCGGGUUUGUAAGUUAGGGGUUUAAAGCGCGGGCUUAACCCGUGUAAGGCCUUUAAUACUGCAAGUCUUGAGUGUGGGAUAGGGCGAUGGAAUUCCAGGUGUAGCGGUGGAAUGCGUAGAUAUCUGGAAGAACACCGACAGCGAAGGCAGUCGCCUGGCCCGAUACUGACGCUGAAGCUCGAAAGUCGGGGGAGCAAACAGGAUUAGAUACCCUGGUAGUCCCGACCGUAAACGAUGAACACUAGAUGCCGGGAGAGUCAAUCCUUUCGGUGCCGAAGCUAACGCAUUAAGUGUUCCGCCUGGGGAGUACGCCCGCAAGGGUGAAACUCAAAGGAAUUGACGGGGGCCCGCACAAGCGGUGGAGCAUGUGCUUUAAUUCGAUGCAACGCGAAGAACCUUACCCAGGCUUGACAUGGGGGCGAAAGUCUGUAGAAAUACGGAACCUUCCGCAAGGAACGCCCUACACAGGUGCUGCAUGGUUGUCGUCAGCUCGUGUCGUGAGAUGUUGGGUUAAGUCCCGCAACGAGCGCAACCCUCGCCCUUAGUUGCCAACAGGUGAAGCUGGGAACUCUAAGGGGACUGCCUAGUUUAACUAGGAGGAAGGUGGGGAUGACGUCAAAUCCUCAUGGCCCUUACGCCUGGGGCUA
rnacentral:rRNA from 1 species